GAAGCGGGCCAGACGGUCGCUGCGCCACUUCGGUUGCGCAGAGGAAAGUCGGGACUCCACAGGGCAGCGUAGCGGGUAACUCCCGUCCGCCGUGAGGCGAGGAUCAGAGCAACAGAGACGAGUCCUGCCGGGCGCAAGUUGGUCAGGGGGUGAAACGGGCAAUCUCUACGCGGAGCAACACCAAAUAGGCAGGCGAUGACGCGGCCCGUCGAGCCUGCGGGUAGGUGGCUUGAGCAUGCCGGCAACGGCAUGCCCAGAGGGAUGACCGUCAUAGCCGCGAGGCCGUAACAGAAUCCCGCUUAUCGGCCCGCUUCACAU
rnacentral:RNase_P_RNA from 1 species